UUCAAAUAGCUCCGUAGGUAGAGCGUGAGACUGUUCAUCUCAAGGUCAUGGGUUUGAGCCCCAGGUCGUGGGGGAAA